AGCAGCCGCGGUAAUUCCAGCUCCAAUAGCGUAUAUUAAAGUUGUUGCAGUUAAAAAGCUCGUAGUUGAAUUUCGGGAUCAAUUUAUUGGUCGUGCUAUUGUACGUACUGGUAUUAUUGAUUCCUACCUUCUGACGAACCAUGAUGUCAUUAAUUUGGUGUCAUGGGGAAUCAGGACUGUUACUUUGAAAAAUUAGAGUGUUUAAAGCAGGCUCACGCUUGAAUACAUUAGCAUGGAAUAACGAAAUAGGACGUUUGAUUCUAUUUUGUUGGUUUCUAGGAUCGACGUAAUGAUUAAUAGGGAUAGUUGGGGGCAUUAGUAUUCAAUUGUCAGAGGUGAAAUUCUUGGAUUUAUUGAAGACUAACUACUGCGAAAGCAUUUGCCAAGGAUGUUUUCAUUAAUCAAGAACGAAAGUUAGGGGAUCGAAGACGAUCAGAUACGUCGUAGUCUUAACCAUAAACUAAUGCCGACUAGGGAUCGGAUGAU
rnacentral:rRNA from 1 species